rnacentral:rRNA from 1 species
GCCUAGCCGUAAAAUAUUUACUUACACCUUUAACCGCCCGGGAAUUACGAGCCCAAGCUUAAAACCCCAAAGGACUUGACGGUGCCCCACCCACCUAGAGGAGCCUGUUCUAUAAUCGAUUCUCCCCGAUAUACCUCACCACUUCUAGCCUAUCAGCCUGUAUACCUCCGUCGUAAGCUUACCAUAUGAACGCUUUUUAGAUGAGCUAAAAGAUUUUACAUAAAUACGUCAGGUCAAGGUGCAGCCCACGAAGUGGUAAGUAAUGGGCUACAAUUUCUAAAAUAGAACAUAACGAAAGACUAUAUGCAAUUUAGUCAUGAAGGCGGAUUUAGUAGUAAAAAGAAAAUAGAGCGUUCUUUUUAAUUAGGCGCUGGGACGCGUACACACCGCCCGUCACCCUCUUCAAACGCUUUAUCAAGUUUAUAACAAUAUUAUGCACCACAGAAGAGGUAAGUCGUAACACGGUAAGCGUACUGGAAAGUGCGCUUGGAUAAACAAAAUAUAGCUUAAUUAAAGCAUCUCGCUUACACCGAGAAUAUAUCUGUGAUACCCGGAUUAUUUUGAGCUAAAAACUUAGCUUUAAUUUACUCUAAUGUCCACCCAUACCUCAAACAACAAAAUAAAACAUUKYRCACAUUAAGUAAAGGCGAUUAAAAAAUGUCUUAAAGCUAUAAAACAAGUACCGCAAGGGAAUAGUGAAAUAAUAAUGAAAAACUAAAGCAUAUAAAAGCAGAGCCUUAACCUCG